rnacentral:rRNA from 1 species
AACGAACGCUGGCGGCAUGCCUAACACAUGCAAGUCGAACGAGACCUUCGGGUCUAGUGGCGCACGGGUGCGUAACGCGUGGGAACCUGCCCUUAGGUUCGGAAUAACUCCCCGAAAGGGGUGCUAAUACCGGAUAAUGUCUUCGGACCAAAGAUUUAUCGCCUUUGGAUGGGCCCGCGUUGGAUUAGCUAGUUGAUAGGGUAAAAGCCUACCAAGGCGACGAUCCAUAGCUGGUCUGAGAGGAUGAUCAGCCACACUGGGACUGAGACACGGCCCAGACUCCUACGGGAGGCAGCAGUGGGGAAUAUUGGACAAUGGGCGAAAGCCUGAUCAAGCAAUGCCGCGUGAGUGAUGAAGGCCUUAGGGUUGUAAAGCUCUUUUACCCGGGAUGAUAAUGACAGUACCGGGAGAAUAAGCUCCGGCUAACUCCGUG